AGUGAACGCUGGCGGUAGGCCUAACACAUGCAAGUCGAACGGCAGCACAGUAAGAGCUUGCUCUUACGGGUGGCGAGUGGCGGACGGGUGAGGAAUACAUCGGAAUCUACUUUUUCGUGGGGGAUAACGUAGGGAAACUUACGCUAAUACCGCAUACGACCUACUGGUGAAAGCAGGGGAUCUUCGGACCUUGCGCGAUUGAAUGAUCCGAUGUCGGAUUAGCUAGUUGGCGGGGUAAAGGCCCACCAAGGCGACGAUCCUUAGCUGGUCUGAGAGGAUGAGCAGCAAAGAGGGAAAGAGGACACGGACCAAAACCCGAAGGGAGGAACGAGUGGGAAAUAUUGGAAAAUGGGCGCAAGCCGAACCCAACCAAACCGCGAGGGUGAAAAAGGCCUUCGGUUUGUAAAGCCCUUUGGUGGGGAAAGAAAAACAGCAGUUUAAAACCCCGCUGUUUGGAGGGAACCAAAAAAAAAAACAACGGCAAACUUGGU
rnacentral:rRNA from 1 species